UGGGGGGCACCGUCAAGCACAGCAUGGCAUGGUGGGAGAGACGACUGGCUCCAGGGCCAGACCACCCGGCUGUGUACCUGGACCUCGCCACUUACUAGCUGUGUGACCUUCGAUGCCUUUAUGAGGAAACUGAAGUCCAGAAGAGUCACAGAUAAUAAUUCCCAGGCGGGGGACAGGAGACCCAAUCUUGUGCUCCUACCCUCCAACAGCUCCUGCCAUUCUGAGGAGCCAAGAAAUCAGGACAUUUACAUGAGCAACUUUGAGAGUGGGAAUCUAGAAGCUCAGUAGGACCCUGGGAAAGUGAGACAGAGGCUUUGGGAUUCAGCCUACCAGUCCUUGACAGGGGAGAAGGGUGUGGAAAAGAGGAAAGGAAAUGGAGAAGGAGCCGGAGACCACUCGGAAGGUGGAAUGCUGAGGCGGUGAGGCUCCUGCCUCUGUCUGUCUUCCCAGUCACCAAGGUGGGACCCCGAGGAACUACCACCUGCCGGAUAGGAGAGAUGCAUCCCUGAGCCCUCAGUGACUGGCCUGACACUCAGCACCUACAGCCCAGCCGAGAGGCCUGGUGCCAAGAGUCUGCACUAGCGGCUCCGGCGGGAGUUGCUUCCCUACCUCCUUCCACCCCCAAACUGGGAAGCCUGGGCCUGGGCUUGCCAUCCCAGGGUCACCGGACUAGGAUGGGGGAUGGGCUUGUGAUAGGAGGUGCCCUGGGUGUCCUCUUUCGGCCCCAUGGAGUCCUCUCCCAUCCCCCAGUCAUCCGGGAACUCUUCUACUUUGGGGAGGGCCCCUCAAACCCCAGGUCCUUCUACUGCCAGCGGGGUCCCCGAAGUGGGGCUACGGGACGUGGCUUCCGAAUCUGUGGCCCUCUUCUUCAUGCUCCUGCUGGACUUGACCGCGGUGGCCGGCAACGCUGCCGUGAUGGCUGUUAUCGCCAAGACACCCGCCCUCCGAAAAUUUGUCUUCGUCUUCCACCUCUGCCUGGUGGACCUGCUGGCUGCCCUGACCCUCAUGCCCCUGGCCAUGCUCUCCAGCUCUGCCCUCUUUGACCAUGACCUCUUUGGGGAGGUCGCCUGCCGCCUCUACUUGUUCCUGAGCAUAUGCUUUGUCAGCCUGGCCAUUCUCUCGGUGUCGGCCAUCAAUGUGGAGCGCUACUACUACGUGGUCCACCCCAUGCGCUAUGAGGUGCGCAUGACCCUGGGGCUGGUGGCCUCUGUGCUGGUGGGUGUGUGGGUGAAGGCCUUGGCGAUGGCUUCUGUGCCGGUGUUGGGAAGGGUCUCCUGGGAGGAGGGAGCUCCCAGCAUCCCCCCAGGCUGCUCACUCCAAUGGAGCCACAGUGCCUACUGCCAGCUGUUCGUGGUGGUCUUUGCUGUCCUUUACUUCCUGUUGCCCUUGCUCCUCAUCCUUGUGGUCUACUGCAGCAUGUUCCGAGUGGCCCGCGUGGCUGCCAUGCAGCACGGGCCGCUGCCCACGUGGAUGGAGACGCCCCGACAACGCUCCGAGUCUCUCAGCAGUCGCUCAACUAUGGUCACCAGCUCGGGGGCCCCCCAGACCACCCCACAUCGGACGUUUGGUGGAGGGAAGGCGGCAGUGGUCCUCCUGGCAGUGGGGGGACAGUUCCUGCUCUGCUGGCUGCCCUACUUUUCUUUCCACCUCUACGUUGCCCUGAGUGCUCAACCCAUCUCGACCGGGCAGGUGGAGAGCGUGGUGACCUGGAUAGGCUACUUCUGCUUCACUUCCAACCCUUUCUUCUACGGCUGUCUUAACCGGCAGAUCCGCGGGGAGCUCAGCAAGCAGUUUGUCUGCUUCUUCAAGUCAGCUCCAGAGGAGGAGCUGAGGCUACCCAGCAGGGAGGGCUCCAUUGAGGAGAAUUUCCUGCAGUUCCUCCAGGGGACAGGCUGUCCCACUGAGUCCUGGGGUGCGCGACCUCUACCCAGCCCCAAGCAGGAGCCGCCUGCUGUUGACUUUCGAAUUCCAGGCCAGAUAGCUGAGGAGACCUCUGAGUUUCUAGAGCAGCAACUCACCAGCGACAUGAUCAUGUCGGACAGCUACCUCCGUCCUGCCCCCUCACCUCGACUGGAAUCAUGAUGGGCUGCUGGACACCUGGAGGGAGAUGGGGCUGGGGGCCAGUUAUGACUGCAAGGACCACCUUGAAGGAUCAUCUUUUCUCAGCUACCUGGGGCUGGGGCUGGGGUCUCUGCACACAGCUUUUGCUUAGUGUUUCUGGAUCAGGAACAGAGCCAACAGGAUGGAUGUGUGGCAAAAGCCUUGGACUCGGCUGUGAUUCUUGACUAUGAUGGGAGGCGACCUGGUGAGAUGGUGACGAGAGUAAAGGGUCACAAAGGACUGGCCUCCCUGAUCUCUCUCCUCAUGGCAGUGACCCACCUCCAGCCCCCUGGACAAUCGGGUACAAGAGACUAAGGUUGGGAAUGGGAAGGGUGGGGUUUCCAUGGUCCAUUAAAUGCCUCCCUACUUCCAUUCAUUGCUCUCAAAAUUAGCUUCAGUGACGACUUAAAUUUCUCUAUCUGCAGCCCUGGGUUGGAGAGGGGCACGGGAGUUGGGCUCAGUUGUUCACUGAUUGAAACUGUAGGAAUUACGCCAGUUGGUAUUGGUGGUGGUAUUUUCAAGGUAGCGAAAUAAUUGCAAACUGGACAGGACAUCCACCUGGGACUACCUGUCCAUCCCACGUCCCUCAAUGAAUCAGCUAACAUUUAAGGCUUGAGGUAGGACCGGCGGAUGAUGUGGUCUGUAUUUGAAAAAUUCCUGGUUUACUGAGUAUCAAAGGGGAAGAUGGGCUGGUGGGAGUGAGUUUCCCCUUUGAACAGCCAAUAAAUACUUUUUAUUAUAAAAUCAUACUGAUAUCAAC